rnacentral:rRNA from 1 species
UCGGGAAUUUUGGGCAAUGGGCGAAAGCCUGACCCAGCAACGCCGCGUGAAGGAUGAAGUAUUUCGGUAUGUAAACUUCGAAAGAAUAGGAAGAAUAAAUGACGGUACUAUUUAUAAGGUCCGGCUAACUACGUGCCAGCAGCCGCGGUAAUACGUAGGGACCAAGCGUUGUUCGGAUUUACUGGGCGUAAAGCGCGUGUAGGCGGAUUUGUAAGUUGGGGGUGAAAUCCCGAGGCUCAACCUCGGAACUGCCUCCAAAACUACAAGUCUGGACCUAAGUAGAGGCAAGUGGAAUUGCGAGUGUAGAGGUGAAAUUCGUAGAUAUUCGGAAGAACACCAGUGGCGAAGGCGGCUCACUGGACGUGUAUUGACGCUGAGGUACGAAAGCGUGGGGAGCAAACAGGAUUAGAUACCCCUGUAGUCCCUGAGCGGGCUGGCAAGGCGCAU